UAGGUUCAGUUUGGCCAAUUACGCGUGAAGAGUCCCCGCAUUCGAUCGGCGGCCAUAACGUGGAUGGGAUGCAGUUGCUCUGUAAGUUUUGACUGUUCGGGCAUGGAAAAUAAUUCGGCCAGACACGUCUGUUUAGGCAGGAAGGGUGGAAUUUCAUAGAUUCUUAUCUCAAGGUUUUCCACGUCUAGGGUUGGAACGUAACUGGCAGACUUAACAGACACGAGGUCUACACGUGAACACCUAUGCGGAAAUAUGGUUGUAUAUGCGGUAGGACUGGUUUCUCUCUCGCUUAUUCUCAAUUAUAUUACAAAAUGACGUCAGUUUUUCUCAACUUAAACGAGUGUGCGUCAUAAUUAACCUGGAAAGGCCGGCACGUGUACAACUGUAAUGUCGCAAUAGUUUGUAAUAGGGUUACUGGAAUUAAUUGAUGAUUAUUUCACUUUUUAAGUGAAUAAAACACCGAAUAAAAUGGAAAUUAAUUUAAAAAAAAAGGCAGCCGUUAAAUACUUUUCAAGGAUACUGCACUCGAAACUAAUAAAACUAAAUGCUUAGAAAUUAUUAAAAAAAAUUAAUUAUGAAUACUUA